UUGUUUCAACAAAGUAAAUUGCGUUUUUGCUGCGGAACAUAUGAAAAUUGAGAAAUAUUUUGCUCUGUUCUAACUAAUAAAAUAUUUUAUGUCCCGUUAUAAAUUCGAAACUUUUUAACAUUGUUAAUUACUUCGGUAUUAAAUAACAACAAAUUGUGCUCACUGCAGUGCUAUUUCAAGUAGUGUAUGGUUACAUUUUUUAUGUGUGUGACUUAAUGUUAUGGUGACGGCGCUAUAUUGUUUGCUCAAUGAUCGCGUCAUUCAAUGAAAAAUAGCAUUCGUAUCAAAAAUACACGUUUUCCACAUUGGUAGGAUAUCUAAAACGACAUCCAUCGUUAUUUAGAUUUGGUAAAAAAAGAAACAUAUUCGCCUUGUAUCCAGUAUUAAAUUUGAUCACCACAUUUGAAAAGCUUUUUUGCUGCACCAGAUUUUUGUUGGUUUACAACAA